GGUAUGCAUUCCUGUGUAUUAGGACUGAUAUUAAGAAAACGGAAAAGUUGUGAGAUGAAGACUGUGAAUUUGCCUGUAGUAGGGGAGGUCACUAUUCUUUCACUUGUUGUGCUGCUUUGUUGUAUAACUUUUGCGGUUGUCUGGGCUCUGAAUCGGCGUGCAUCAUAUUCUUGGGUUGGUCAAAAUAUUCUUGGUAUUUGCCUGAUGAUAACAGUCUUGCAGAUGGCCCGAUUACCUAAUAUUAAGGUAGCAACAGUACUUCUUUGCUGUGCAUUUAUCUAUGACAUCUUCUGGGUGUUCAUAUCACCAGUAAUAUUCCACGAGAGUGUAAUGAUUGCGGUUGCCCGAGGGGACAAUAGUGGCGGAGAAUCCAUUCCAAUGCUCUUAAGGGUUCCUCGCACUUUUGAUCCUUGGGGUGGUUUUGAUAUGAUUGGAUUUGGGGAUAUACUCUUCCCUGGUUUGCUUGUUUCGUUUACUCACAGAUUUGACAAAGCACACAAGAAAAGCAAGUGUAAUGCAUAUUUUCCAUGGUUGCUUAUUGGUUAUGGAACUGGUCUCUUCUUAACGUAUUUGGGCUUAUAUUUUAUGAAUGGACAUGGUCAACCUGCACUCCUUUAUCUUGUCCCGUGCACCUUAGGUGUUACUGUUAUUUUGGGUUUGAUCAGAGGCGAGAUUAAGCAACUUUGGUGUUAUGGGACAGAAAAUCCCUUGCAUAGGG
rnacentral:misc_RNA from 1 species